AUGAGGAGCUACGCAGCGGUAGUCCGGGCGGCACUGCUCGUCCUUGGCGCGCUGCUACUCCCUGCCCACCAUGUGAUGGCCGACUACUCGGCCAUGGCACCGCCGCCUAAGCCGGCCAGUGCCAUUUCCACGCCCCCGUUGCCAGCCAAUGACACGAACAUGUCGCCGUUGCCGCCUGUCCAGCCGAUGCCACCUUUCGUCGUCGUGCAGGGCGUGAUCUACUGCAAAUCUUGCAAAUCCAGGGGCUACAACCGCGGCAUGGACGCCUCACCGAUCCAAGGUGCAACGGUGAAUCUGGUGUGCUACGGGAGGAAGGUGGUGAACGUGACGGCGACGGUGUCGGACGAGCACGGCUACUUCCUGGUGAUGUUCUACGACCUGGCCAACUUCAACGCGCGCACCUGCAAGCUGUACCUGGGCACGUCGCCGACGCCGCUCUGCGACAAGCCCGUCUACCCGCCGAACAAGUGGAUCGGGCUCUCGCUCGUCAAGGAGACCGUCACCUCGCCGCCGGUGGGGCUGCAGGGCGUCUACUGCCCCACCAGCGUCCUCUUCUACGGCCCCUCCGCCGGACAGCAUUGCCCAUUUUAUUGA
rnacentral:rRNA from 1 species